CGGUUAAGUUAGAAAGGGCGCACGGUGGAUGCCUUGGCACUAGGAGCCGAUGAAGGACGGGACGAACACCGAUAUGCUUCGGGGAGCUGUAAGCAAGCUUUGAUCCGGAGAUUUCCGAAUGGGGAAACCCACCACUCGUAAUGGAGUGGUAUCCAUAUCUGAAUACAUAGGAUAUGAGAAGGCAGACCCGGGGAACUGAAACAUCUAAGUACCCGGAGGAAGAGAAAGCAAAUGCGAUUCCCUGAGUAGCGGCGAGCGAAACGGGACCAGCCCAAACCAAGAGGCUUGCCUCUUGGGGUUGUAGGACACUCUGUACGGAGUUACAAAGGAACGAGGUAGAUGAAGAGGUCUGGAAAGGCCCGCCAUAGGAGGUAACAGCCCUGUAGUCAAAACUUCGUUCUCUCCUGAGUGGAUCCUGAGUACGGCGGAACACGUGAAAUUCCGUCGGAAUCCGGGAGGACCAUCUCCCAAGGCUAAAUACUCCCUAGUGACCGAUAGUGAACCAGUACCGUGAGGGAAAGGUGAAAAGCACCCCGGAAGGGGAGUGAAAGAGAUCCUGAAACCGUGUGCCUACAAGUAGUCAGAGCCCGUUAACGGGUGAUGGCGUGCCUUUUGUAGAAUGAACCGGCGAGUUACGAUCCCGUGCAAGGUUAAGCAGAAGAUGCGGAGCCGCAGCGAAAGCGAGUCUGAAUAGGGCGAAUUGAGUACGUGGUCGUAGACCCGAAACCAGGUGAUCUACCCAUGUCCAGGGUGAAGUUCAGGUAACACUGAAUGGAGGCCCGAACCCACGCACGUUGAAAAGUGCGGGGAUGAGGUGUGGGUAGGGGUGAAAUGCCAAUCGAACCUGGAGAUAGCUGGUUCUCUCCGAAAUAGCUUUAGGGCUAGCCUCAAGGUAAGAGUCUCGGAGGUAGAGCACUGAUUGGACUAGGGGCCCCUACCGGGUUACCGAAUUCAGUCAAACUCCGAAUGCCGAUGACUUAUCCUUGGGAGUCAGACUGCGAGUGAUAAGAUCCGUAGUCGAAAGGGAAACAGCCCAGACCGCCAGCUAAGGUCCCAAAGUAUACGUUAAGUGGAAAAGGAUGUGGAGUUGCUUAGACAACCAGGAUGUUGGCUUAGAAGCAGCCACCAUUUAAAGAGUGCGUAAUAGCUCACUGGUCGAGUGACUCUGCGCCGAAAAUGUACCGGGGCUAAACGUAUCACCGAAGCUGCGGACUGUUCUUCGAACAGUGGUAGGAGAGCGUUCUAAGGGCUGUGAAGCAAGACCGGAAGGACUUGUGGAGCGCUUAGAAGUGAGAAUGCCGGUAUGAGUAGCGAAAGAGGGGUGAGAAUCCCCUCCACCGAAUGCCUAAGGUUUCCUGAGGAAGGCUCGUCCGCUCAGGGUUAGUCGGGACCUAAGCCGAGGCCGAAAGGCGUAGGCGAUGGAUAACAGGUUGAUAUUCCUGUACCACCUCCUCACCAUUUGAGCAAUGGGGGACGCAGGAGGAUAGGGUAAGCGCGGUAUUGGAUAUCCGCGUCCAAGCAGUUAGGCUGGGAAAUAGGCAAAUCCGUUUCCCGUGAAGGCUGAGCUGUGAUGGCGAGCGAAUUAUAGUAGCGAAGUUCCUGAUUCCACACUGCCAAGAAAAGCCUCUAGCGAGGUGAGAGGUGCCCGUACCGCAAACCGACACAGGUAGGCGAGGAGAGAAUCCUAAGGUGAUCGAGAGAACUCUCGUUAAGGAACUCGGCAAAAUGACCCCGUAACUUCGGGAGAAGGGGUGCUCUGUUAGGGUGCAAGCCCGAGAGAGCCGCAGUGAAUAGGCCCAGGCGACUGUUUAGCAAAAACACAGGUCUCUGCGAAGCCGUAAGGCGAAGUAUAGGGGCUGACGCCUGCCCGGUGCUGGAAGGUUAAGAGGAGCGCUUAGCGUAAGCGAAGGUGCGAAUUGAAGCCCCAGUAAACGGCGGCCGUAACUAUAACGGUCCUAAGGUAGCGAAAUUCCUUGUCGGGUAAGUUCCGACCCGCACGAAAGGCGCAACGAUCUGGGCACUGUCUCAACGAGAGACUCGGUGAAAUUAUAGUACCUGUGAAGAUGCAGGUUACCCGCGACAGGACGGAAAGACCCCGUGGAGCUUUACUGCAGCCUGAUAUUGAAUGUUGGUACAGCUUGUACAGGAUAGGUAGGAGCCUUGGAAACCGGAGCGCCAGCUUCGGUGGAGGCAUCGGUGGGAUACUACCCUGGCUGUAUUGACCUUCUAACCCGCCGCCCUUAUCGGGCGGGGAGACAGUGUCAGGUGGGCAGUUUGACUGGGGCGGUCGCCUCCUAAAAGGUAACGGAGGCGCCCAAAGGUUCCCUCAGAAUGGUUGGAAAUCAUUCGCAGAGUGUAAAGGCACAAGGGAGCUUGACUGCGAGACCUACAAGUCGAGCAGGGACGAAAGUCGGGCUUAGUGAUCCGGUGGUUCCGCAUGGAAGGGCCAUCGCUCAACGGAUAAAAGCUACCCCGGGGAUAACAGGCUUAUCUCCCCCAAGAGUCCACAUCGACGGGGAGGUUUGGCACCUCGAUGUCGGCUCAUCGCAUCCUGGGGCUGUAGUCGGUCCCAAGGGUUGGGCUGUUCGCCCAUUAAAGCGGUACGCGAGCUGGGUUCAGAACGUCGUGAGACAGUUCGGUCCCUAUCCGUCGCGGGCGCAGGAAAUUUGAGAGGAGCUGUCCUUAGUACGAGAGGACCGGGAUGGACGCACCGCUGGUGUACCAGUUGUUCUGCCAAGGGCAUCGCUGGGUAGCUAUGUGCGGACGGGAUAAGUGCUGAAAGCAUCUAAGCAUGAAGCCCCCCUCAAGAUGAGAUUUCCCAUUCCGCAAGGAAGUAAGAUCCCUGAAAGAUGAUCAGGUUGAUAGGUCUGAGGUGGAAGUGUGGCGACACAUGGAGCUGACAGAUACUAAUCGAUCGAGGACUUAACCAAUUU
rnacentral:rRNA from 1 species